UACGGAGGGUGCAAGCGUUGUUCGGAAUUACUGGGCGUAAAGGGCGUGUAGGCGGUUUGGCAAGUCAGAUGUGAAAGCCCUGGGCUCAACCCAGGAAGUGCAUUUGAAACUACCAUCCUAGAGUAUGGGAGAGGAGAGUGGAAUUCCCAGUGUAGAGGUGAAAUUCGUAGAUAUUGGGAGGAACACCGGUGGCGAAGGCGACUCUCUGGACCAAUACUGACGCUGAGACGCGAAAGCGUGGGGAGCAAACAGG
rnacentral:rRNA from 1 species